rnacentral:rRNA from 1 species
CAAUAGCGUAUAUUAAAGUCGUUGCGGUUAAAAAGCUCGUAGUUGGAUUUCUGCCGAGGACGACCGGUCCGCCCUCUGGGCGAGUAUCUGGCUUGGCCUGGGCAUCUUCUUGGAGAGCGUAGCUGCACUUGACUGUGUGGUGCGGUAUCCAGGACUUUUACUUUGAGGAAACUAGAGCGUUUCAAUCAGGCAUACGCCUUGAAUACAUUAGCAUGGAAUAUAAGAUAGGACCUCGGUUCUAUUUCGUUGGCUUCUAGAGCUGAGGUAAUGAUUAAUAGGGAUAGUUGGGGGCAUUCGUAUUUAACUGUCAGAGGUGGAAUUCUUGGAUUUGUUAAAGACGGACUACUGCGAAAGCAUUUGCCAAGGAUGUUUUCAUUGAUCAAGAACGAAAGUUAGGGGAUCGAAGAUGAUCAGAUA